AGCGCGGUGGCGGAAUGUAAAUACGCAGCGGAAUACGCGGGCUGAUGCACAAGCCGCUCCCCCUGAAAAUGCGCAUCGUGCAGGUUCGAAUCCUGUCCGCGCUC
rnacentral:tRNA from 1 species